AAUGCAGUUGAGUGUGCAGGCUUCUCGCAGUUAAAACACUGUCCCUGGAGCCCUAAGAAGUCACAACGGCACGCCCUUCUAUAGCCAGUGUAAAUAGUCUGCAUCAUAAAUUUUACUCAAUAACCACUGAGGAAGUCAAACCCAGAAAUGGUUGAUUGCUACUGGAUAUGCCUGCCAGGUACUUAAAUUCCCGAAUUUGCAGAGGGCCCAGCAGUUAGAUUGGAUGGGCCUAUGUUGUCAUUCAGUUGACAGAAGUUAAUUGGCUUUGCCAGCAGAAAGAACCUGAGCCCCAAAAGAGGGGGGGACGCGAGGCCUCGUGGAGAUUUCAGCUCAAAUCCCCUCAGUAGGCCCGUGUCACACCAGCGACCUAAUCUCUCCAUCUCGGACCUCAUUACAACUGUGUUUGUCCAAAACAAUGGGCACAGAGUAAUGAAAGAGGCUGCCAUGCUGCCAAACAGAUUGGAAGAGAGAAAAUCAAUUUCUGAUGACAAUCCGCCGCACGGGAAUGAAAGCCACAGCGCUCCCCUGCCCUGGGAAAGAGAGGCAGAGGGAGACAGCCGCUAAUCUCAGGCCGAAUGAAUCAUUCGCACUUAUUUGGACAUCUGUGUUAACUUUCCUUUCUCUCUCCUCCCUCGCUCUCUCUCUCCUCCCUCUCCCUCUCUCCCCACCCUGUGAAAACUUUCCCUCGUCUUCAGUGGUUUUAUUAGAAGUUGUGGCAGGUGGCUGGGACUGUGACAGUACAGCAGGAAUGCUGCGGAGAGACACAGAAACUCAUUUAGUCCUCGGACAAGGGAAGCGUUGCACUUUUCAAAGUCUUUUCACACACUCCCAGCAGCACUGGGCCCGGAGCACUCCCAAGAUGUUAUUGCAGCAGAAUCAGAACAAAUCUGUAGUCCUGCGCAGACACAGACAAUGCCAUGUUUCAUGUAUCUAUUUGCUGAAGUCUAUAAGUUCUAUUCAGUGUUACAUUGUAUCUAGCUUGUAUUUCUUCAUAGCUUUAUGUGGGAAGAAAUACACCAGGGAUGUUUUGAAAGCAAUCCAGUUUGAUUCUUAGUGUGUUCAUGCUCCACGAAAAUGUAAAAAUUAGCAUUAGCGUCAGCGUUUGCCUGUUAAUCGUGAUGCGAUUAAGGACUAAACUUAACGUGUUCAUUUUUUAAUCGCACUAUUUUGACCUUUUAAUGCACCGUUUCUUGUCCUCAAAAUGCCACAGACACUUCCUAGUAGGCUUCUGGUAUCUCCUCCUGUAGUCAUGGAGAUAAUAAACACCAACACACCUCAAAUUUAAUAUAUAAUCUAGGCUACGACAUUGUCUUGCCACGGAAAUUAUUUGGCCCGCCAGAUUAUUCUGGCAGUCUGAUUUUUUAAAAUAAUUUUUAUUUUACAAUAUCGAUUUACAAAUAGCCUAUUCACCAAUCAGGCCGUGGGUUGGUGCUUAAACAAAUAUGAGAAAUAACACCAGAACGCACUAUUUGCACAUGCACUUGCAUAUUUCUCAAUAUGAAAAGUUCCUUAUUUUCAACUGAAUUCAAAGAUAAUGAACAGAGUAUUUUUGUUUUUUAUGCCCUUUAUCAUGUGUCCUACAUUUUGUGCAUGCACUUCUGCUGUAGCAUUUAUUUUAGUUUACCGAUAUUCAGUUAUUUCUGAAGAAGACAUGGUGUUCCCUAAGGCCUGCUGGAGAUCUUUUGAAAUUUGAUUUGAAAUAAUCAAAUACGUCUUAAAAUUAAUUCAUAAAAUAACUUUCUUUGCAUUAAUUUGAUUCUCAAUCAAGAUACACUGCUAAGAAUUGCUUUACAUUGUUAAUAUGGACUUCUGGAAAGUUCUGAAAUGGAAAAUAAUAGAAUUUUAAUCAUGUGAUACAAUG